rnacentral:rRNA from 1 species
UGAGCAAUCUGCCCUUCUCAUCGGAAUAAGCGUUGGAAACGACGUCUAAUGCCGAAUACGACCUCCUUUCGCAUGAUCGGAGGUGGAAAGCUCCGGCGGAGAAGGAUGAGCUCGCGGCCUAUCAGCUAGUUGGUGGGUAACGGCCUACCAAGGCGACGAUCCGUAGCUGGUCUGAGAGGAUGAUCAGCCACACUGGGACUGAGACACGGCCCAGAUCCUACGGG